UGAGGAGCGUAAGGUCUGAACGGUAAACGUGUACAUACAUUGUCCAGUUCAUUUGUAUAUACAUUCAAUUAAUAUGAAAUAAUGAUAGGCAUGGAGACUCUGUUAAAAGAUUCGAAGAACAUCAUCCAUUGGAUAUUUCAGUGAGACUCUCUCAGUAAAAGGUCAGGCUGUAAAAAUCUAAAGUCAAGUUCGUUGCAGUAUUUAUCCUGUUCGUCUGAACGAGCCAG
rnacentral:sRNA from 1 species